AGUGAACGCUGGCGGUAGGCCCAACACAUGCAAGUCGAACGGCAGCACAGUAAGAGCUUGCUCUUAUGGGUGGCGAGUGGCGGACGGGUGAGGAAUACAUCGGAAUCUACUUUUUCGUGGGGGAUAACGUAGGGAAACUUACGCUAAUACCGCAUACGACCUACGGGUGAAAGCAGGGGAUCUUCGGACCUUGCGCGAUUGAAUGAGCCGAUGUCGGAUUAGCUAGUUGGCGGGGUAAAGGCCCACCAAGGCGACGAUCCGUAGCUGGUCUGAGAGGAUGAUCAGCCACACUAGAACUGAGACACGGUCCAGACGACUGCGAGAGGCAGCGGUGGGGAAUAUUGGACAGUGGGCGCAAGCCUGGUCCAGCCGUCCCGCGUGGGUGAAGGAGGCCUUCGGGUUGUAAAGCCCUUUUGUUGGGAAAGAAAAGCAGCAGGUUAAUACCCCGCUGUUCUGACGGUACCCAAAGAAUAAGCACCGGCUAACUUCGUG
rnacentral:rRNA from 1 species